rnacentral:lncRNA from 1 species
GUCUGUGUAUAUCAGAGGAAGGUUUCUGACAAAAUUUCAAACAACUAGAAGUAAAAGCAGUUUUAAUUCAGCCUUCAACAGAAAUUAAGGACAUAGUGACCCAAACACACAGAUUUUGUUGUAUGGAUGCAGAUGAGCUUAUACAGUUAGGCAGCAGAUUAACAUGGCUGCAAAGUGCAGACUCCUGACCUGUAACUCUGCACAGAAUAUCAGCAUACAGACUUGCCAGAGUCAUCUCCAAGUUGUCAUGGGCAACCUCUUCUCUGCUACCAGAGAGGAAUAAACUAAGACCACCAGCAAAGUCAUCAUGUAAUAUGCUGUGGAUAUGAGCAUUGUCCUCAGCAAUUUUACAAGAAUAUUGCACAAGAAUCUUAUAAGAAAUAUCCAACAAAAUGUCCACUUCGCUAUGCCGCACGUGCUUCAACGAAUUACCUAUAAAGGAAACUGGAAACUCCAUGGAAUCUCUCUGUCAUCUUUACCUCCAGAUGGUGCCUCCAAAUCUCUUCUGAAAGAGCUUGUGCAGAGCAGAGUUGUUACAUUAAAUCACCACAGAGUGCAUAACAUUCAGCCUCGUGAUGGCAAUGCUCAGGCAACAGAGGGACAAACAGAACACAAAACCAUGACGGACUUGCAAACAAGGCUGAAGAUGCCCAGAGAUGGCAACAAGAAAUUUCACAGCGCCAAACAAUGA